rnacentral:ribozyme from 1 species
AAACAAAAAUGGACAAGGGGCCCCCCCUCUAAGUAAACGAAUGAAAGUUUUUUUUUUUUUUUUUUUUUUUUUUUUUUUCA